rnacentral:rRNA from 1 species
GAUCAUGGCUCAGGAUGAACGCUAGCUACAGGCUUAACACAUGCAAGUCGAGGGGAAACGAUAUUGGGAGCUUGCUUCCGAUAGGCGUCGACCGGCGCACGGGUGGGUAACGCGUAUCCAACCUGCCCACCACUUGGGGGAUAACCUUGCGAAAGUAAGACUAAUACCCAAUGAUAUCUCUAGAAGACAUCUGAAAGAGAUUAAAGAUUCAUCGGUGAUGGAUGGGGAUGCGU